GGGUUGUGAGGUUAAGCGACUAAGCGUACACGGUGGAUGCCCUGGCAGUCAGAGGCGAUGAAGGACGUGCUAAUCUGCGAAAAGCGCCGGCGAGGUGAUAUGAACCUUUGACCCGGCGAUGUCCGAAUGGGGAAACCCAGUGCAAUUCGUUGCACUAUCGUUAACUGAAUACAUAGGUUAACGAGGCGAACCGGGGGAACUGAAACAUCUAAGUACCCCGAGGAAAAGAAAUCAACCGAGAUUCCCCCAGUAGCGGCGAGCGAACGGGGAGGAGCCCAGAGUCUGAAUCAGUUUGUGUGUUAGUGGAAGCGUCUGGAAAGUCGCACGAUACAGGGUGAAAGUCCCGUACACGAAAAUGCACAUGCUGUGAACUCGAAGAGUAGGGCGGGACACGUGGUAUCCUGUCUGAAUAUGGGGGGACCAUCCUCCAAGGCUAAAUACUCCUGACUGACCGAUAGUGAACCAGUACCGUGAGGGAAAGGCGAAAAGAACCCCGGCGAGGGGAGUGAAAAAGAACCUGAAACCGUGUACGUACAAGCAGUGGGAGCACCCUUCGGGGUGUGACUGCGUACCUUUUGUAUAAUGGGUCAGCGACUUAUAUUCUGUAGCAAGGUUAACCGCAUAGGGGAGCCGAAGGGAAACCGAGUCUUAACUGGGCGUUAAGUUGCAGGGUAUAGACCCGAAACCCGGUGAUCUAGCCAUGGGCAGGUUGAAGGUUGGGUAACACUAACUGGAGGACCGAACCGACUAAUGUUGAAAAAUUAGCGGAUGACCUGUGGCUGGGGGUGAAAGGCCAAUCAAACCGGGAGAUAGCUGGUUCUCCCCGAAAGCUAUUUAGGUAGCGCCUCGUGAACUCAUCUUCGGGGGUAGAGCACUGUUUCGGCUAGGGGGUCAUCCCGACUUACCAACCCGAUGCAAACUGCGAAUACCGAAGAAUGUUAUCACGGGAGACACACGGCGGGUGCUAACGUCCGUCGUGAAGAGGGAAACAACCCAGACCGCCAGCUAAGGUCCCAAAGUCAUGGUUAAGUGGGAAACGAUGUGGGAAGGCCCAGACAGCCAGGAUGUUGGCUUAGAAGCAGCCAUCAUUUAAAGAAAGCGUAAUAGCUCACUGGUCGAGUCGGCCUGCGCGGAAGAUGUAACGGGGCUAAACCAUGCACCGAAGCUGCGGCAGCGACGCUUA
rnacentral:rRNA from 1 species